UACGUAGGGUGCAAGCGUUGUCCGGAAUUAUUGGGCGUAAAGAGCUCGUAGGCGGUUUGUCGCGUCUGCUGUGAAAACUCGGGGCUUAACCCUGGGCCUGCAGUGGGUACGGGCAGACUAGAGUGCGGUAGGGGAGAUCGGAAUUCCUGGUGUAGCGGUGAAAUGCGCAGAUAUCAGGAGGAACACCGGUGGCGAAGGCGGAUCUCUGGGCCGAUACUGACGCUGAGGAGCGAAAGCGUGGGGAGCGAACAGG
rnacentral:rRNA from 1 species